rnacentral:rRNA from 1 species
GGGGGAAAAAUUAAUUAAAUAUAAAAUAUUAAAAUAAAUUUUAAAAUUAAAAAUAUAUGGGGGUUAAAGUAUUUUUAAUAGAAAAAAUUUAUAAUUUUAUAAAAAAUUAGUAUUGUAAAAGAAAUUUGAAAUAAAUAAAAUAAAAAUUUUUAGUAAAGAAAAUUUAAUUUAUUGUAUCUUGUGUAUCAGAGUUUAUUAAAUAAUUAUUAUAAAAAUAAUAAUCUCGAAUUUAAAAGAAAUAAUUAAUUAUAAAAUUUAAUGUAGCAUAAUUAUUUUAAAUAAUUAGUUUGAAAUGAAAUGUUAAACGUUUUUAAAAAUAUCUAGUUAUUUCAGAAAAAAAUUUAAUUUUAAAUUUAAAUAAUUUUAUAAUUUUAUAAAAUAAUUAUAAAAUCGUUAAUUUUAAUGUUUUGGGGGAUAAGCUUUAAAAUAAAAUUUUAUAAUAAUGAUUAAAAUAAAAAUUAAAAUUUUUAAAAUUUAUAUUGUUUAAAAAUUAAAAUUUUUUAUAAAAAAUUUUAAUUUGAAAAAAAUUUUAAUUAAAAAUUUAAUUUUUUAUGAAAUAAUAAUUUUAAAUUAAAUAAAAUUAAAAAUAAUGAUAAAAUUAGUAUAUAAAAUAAAAAAAAAAGUAAAUUAAAAUAUAAAAUUAGUUUUAAGGAAUUCGGCAAAUAAAAUUAUUCACUUGUUUAUCAAAAACAUGUCUUUUUGAAAUUAAUUUAAAGUCUAAUCUGCCCACUGAUAAAUAUUAAAGGGCUGCAGUAUAUUGACUGUACAAAGGUAGCAUAAUCAUUAGUUUUUUAAUUGAAAACUUGUAUGAAAGAUUUGAUGAAAUAAUAACUGUCUCUAAAUUAAAAAUAUAAUUUUAUUUUUUAGUAAAAAAGCUAAAAUAAAUUUAAAAGACGAGAAGACCCUAUAGAGUUUUAUAUAAAUUUUAUUUAAAAUUUUAUAUUUAAUUUAUAAAUUUAAUUAGAUUUUAUAUUUUAUUGGGGUGAUAGAAAAAUUAAAUUAACUUUUUUUGAAUAAUAAAUAUUAAUAAAUAAAUAAAUGAUCCAUAUAUAAUGAUUAUAAGAAAAAAUUACCUUAGGGAUAACAGCGUAAUGUUAUUUUUUAGUUCAAAUAAAAAAUAGAGUUUGCGACCUCGAUGUUGGAUUAAGAUAAAAUUUAAAUGCAAAAGUUUAAAAUUUUGAUCUGUUCGAUCAUUAAAAUCUUACAUGAUCUGAGUUCAAACCGGUGUGAGCCAGGUUGGUUUCUAUCUUUAAAUUAAAAUAAUAUUUUAGUACGAAAGGAUCAGAUAUUAGAAAUAAUUUUAUAAAAAGAAUAUUAAUAAUAAAUGAAUAA